GGGCCUGGACUGCUUCCUAGACAGCUCUCUGGCUUGCUCCCUCCUUCACACUUUGACCUCAUGGCACCAAUGGUUGUGCCACCUGACACUCUACCCUACUGAGGUGCGAGGGCCAUCCUGUGCCACCAGUCAAUUGAUGGUGGAUGACCUUCUGACCCCGUGCUCGCCAGGUGACCCGGCUGCCAUAGAAUUGACCUGGAUGGAUGUGCCUAGCGACAAGCUGCUGUAGCCCAUCUGCAUGUCCGACAUGCUGCCCUCACUAUAUACCACGCAACCCACAGUCAACAUGGAGGUCUUGUUCAAGGUCAGGAAGUUCACAGAGGACUUAGAACAGGA